GACGAACGCUGGCGGCGUGCUUAACACAUGCAAGUCGAACGGAAAGGCCCUGCGUUGGUGGUGUGCUCGAGUGGCGAACGGGUGAGUAACACGUGAGUAACCUGCCCUUGACUUUGGGAUAACUUCAGGAAACUGGUGCUAAUACCGGAUAGGAGCUCCUGCUGCAUGGUGUGGGUUGGAUAGUUUCGGCGGUUGGGGAUGGACUCGCGGCUUAUCAGCUUGUUGGUGGGGUAGUGGCUUACCAAGGCUUUGACGGGUAGCCGGCCUGAGAGGGUGACCGGCCACACUGGGACUGAGACACGGCCCAGACUCCUACGGGAAGCAGCAGUGGGGAAUAUUGCACAAUGGGCGGAAGCCUGACGCAGCAACGCCGCGUGCGGGAUGACGGCCUUCGGGUUGUAAACCGCUUUCGCCUGUGACGAAGCGUGAGUGACGGUAAUGGGUAAAGAAGCACCGGCUAACUACGUG
rnacentral:rRNA from 1 species